rnacentral:rRNA from 1 species
GAUGAACGCUGGCGGCGUGCCUAAUACAUGCAAGUCGAGCGAACAGAUGAGAAGCUUGCUUCUCUGAUGUUAGCGGCGGACGGGUGAGUAACCCGUGGGUAACCUACCUAUAAGACUGGGAUAACUCCGGGAAACCGGGGCUAAUACCGGAUAAUAUUUUGAACCGCAUGGUUCAAUAGUGAAAGACGGUUUCGGCUGUCACUUAUAGAUGGACCCGCGCCGUAUUAGCUCUUUGGUAAGGUAACUGCUUACCAAGGAGACGAUACGUAGCCGACCUGAGAGGGUGAUCGGCCACACUGGAACUGAGACACGGUCCAGACUCCUACGGGAGGCAGCAGUAGGGAAUCUUCCGCAAUGGGCGAAAGCCUGACGGAGCAACGCCGCGUGAGUGAUGAAGGUCUUCGGAUCGUAAAACUCUGUUGUUAGGGAAGAACAAAUUGUUAGUAACUGAACAAGUCUUGACGGUACCUAACCAGAAAGCCACGGCUAACUACGUGCCAGCCGCCGCCGUAA